rnacentral:rRNA from 1 species
ACGGAGAGUUUGAUCCUGGCUCAGGACGAACGCUGGCGGCGUGCUUAACACAUGCAAGUCGAACGGUAAGGCCCCUUCGGGGGUACACGAGUGGCGAACGGGUGAGUAACACGUGAGCAACCUGCCCUUGACUUCGGAAUACCAGCUGGAAACAGCUGCUAAUACCGGAUAUGACACUUGCCCUCCUGGGUGGGUGUGGAAAGCUCCGGCGGUCAGGGAUGGGCUCGCGGCCUAUCAGCUUGUUGGUGAGGUAAUGGCUCACCAAGGCUUCGACGGGUAGCCGGCCUGAGAGGGCGACCGGCCACACUGGGACUGAGAUACGGCCCAGACUCCUACGGGAGGCAGCAGUGGGGAAUAUUGCACAAUGGGCGGAAGCCUGAUGCAGCAACGCCGCGUGCGGGAUGACGGCCUUCGGGUUGUAAACCGCUUUCAGUAGGGACGAAGCUAACGUGACGGUACCUACAGAAGAAGGACCGGCUAACUACGUGCCAGCAGCCGCGGUAAUACGUAGGGUGCAAGCGUUGUCCGGAAUUAUUGGGCGUAAAGGGCUUGUAGGCGGUCCGUCGCGUCAGGAGUGAAAACUCGGGGCUUAACCCCGAGCCUGCUUUUGAUACGGGCGGACUAGAGGGAUGCAGGGGAGAACGGAAUUCCUGGUGGAGCGGUGGAAUGCGCAGAUAUCAGGAGGAACACCGGUGGCGAAGGCGGUUCUCUGGGCAUCACCUGACGCUGAGAAGCGAAAGCGUGGGGAGCAAACAGGCUUAGAUACCCUGGUAGU